rnacentral:rRNA from 1 species
AGCAGCCGCGGUAAAUUCCAGCUCCAAUAGCGUAUAUUAAAGUUGUUGCAGUUAAAAAGCUCGUAGUUGAAUUUCGGGAUCAAGGGAUCGGUCAUGCCUUGGUAUGUACUGGUUUUAUUGGUUCUCACCUUCUAAAGAACCAUAAUGUCAUUUAUUUGAUGUUAUGGGGAAUUAGGACUGUUACCUUGAAAAAAUUAGAGUGUUUAAAGCAAGCUUACGCUUGAAUACAUUAGCAUGGAAUAAUGAAAUAGGACAUCAGAUUCUAUUUUGUUGGUUUCUAGGAUCGAUGUAAUGAUUAAUAGGGAUAGUUGGGGGCAUUAGUAUUCAAUUGUCAGAGGUGAAAUUCUUGGAUUUAUUGAAGACUAACUACUGCGAAAGCAUUUGCCAAGGAUGUUUU